rnacentral:rRNA from 1 species
AUUGAACGCUGGCGGAAUGCUUUACACAUGCAAGUCGAGCGGCAGCGCGGGGCAACCUGGCGGCGAGCGGCGAACGGGUGAGUAAUGUAUCGGAACGUGUCCUGUCGUGGGGGAUAGCCCGGUGAAAACCGGAUUAAUACCGCAUACGAUCGAGAGAUGAAAGUGGGGGACCGCAAGGCCUCACGCGAUAGGAGCGGCCGAUAUCUGAUUAGCUCGUUGGUGGGGUAAAGGCCCACCAAGGCUUCGACCAGUAGCUGGUCUGAGAGGAUGAUCAGCCACACUGGGACUGAGACACGGCCCAGACUCCUACGGGAGGCAGCAGUGGGGAAUUUUGGACAAUGGGGGCAACCCUGAUCCAGCCAUCCCGCGUGAGUGAAGAAGGCCUUCGGGUUGUAAAGCUCUUUUGUCCGGGAAGAAACGGUUUUGGCUAAUAACCAAGACUACUGACGGUACCGGAAGAAUAAGGACCGGCUAACUACGUGCCAGCCGCCGCGGUAA